AUGAUGAACGGUUCUCUCCGCAAGGUGCACGGAACAUCAAGAGAAUCUUGUCCAGACAAUCCAGGACGAGAGCAGAAGAGUUAUGCCCGGAUUGUCUUCACCAUCAUUGCUUUCUACUUCAUGCCCUGCUGCCCCUUCACAGCCUCCUCCUUCUAUCUGCUGAGUGGACUUCUGGACGCUUUUGAUGGACAUGCUCAAUCAAGGAACCCGGUUUGGAGCCACGUUGGACAUGCUGACAUGUGUCUGUUGGUCAACCUGGCCCUGCUGUACCCUUGAGCUACCCUUCUCUUCCAGAUCAGCAUGAGCUUGGAUGUGGCCAGUCACUGGCUGCACCUCCACAGUUUUGUGGUCCGGGGUAGUGAGAGUCACAAGAUGAUUGACCUCUCUGGGAAUCCAGUGCUUUGGAUUUACUACACCGCCAGGCCUGCUCUGUUCACCCUGUGUGCUAGAAAUGAGCUCUUCUGCUGCCUCCUCUACCUGUUCAAUUUCUCUGAAGGACCGUUAGUUGGCUCUGUGGGGCUUUUCCGAAUGGGUCUCUGGGUCACUGCCCCCAUCGCUUUGCUCAAGUCCCUCAUCAGUGUCAUCCACCUGAUCACAGCUGCCCGCAACAUGGCUGCCCUGGAUGCGGCAGACUGUGCCAAGAAGAAGUGACCCU